rnacentral:misc_RNA from 1 species
UAUAUCCGCCUUCGCCAGAAAGGGGGACCAAAUUACUGAAACGGUGAAGUUGUACGAGGGGAAUAACCAUCUCCUGGAUCGGUACUCCUUAUCAUGGUAUACUUCAACAGCUUCGUCUACCUUUGAGAGUACGCAAAGAAAUGAUUGGACAUGGUUCCUUGAUAUUGAAUCACCAAUUAAUGCCCAUGUUUUAUUUCUCAUAAAUUGAAGAAACUUAAGUGGAUUGAACCGAGGUAACUUGCAAUUUCGUGGAUUCCACCUCCAGUAAAGAUAACCAUUAUCCGGUCGGCCAUUCUUCAUACAAUUCUGAUGGUCUUCAAUAAAUUUGCAUGUCUCAUCCGUGUAAACAGGACCAUCUGGAUCAGGAAUCCAAUCUCCAAUGAAAAGAUUACACGUACCUGCUUGUUCUUCAGGACCAAUCUGAUCUGCAACUUCAGGCAAACUGAAAGAAACAGGAGGCGGUGAAAAUAGAGUUUUUUGAACAAAAGGGGUUUCUUGAACUUCAGAA